rnacentral:rRNA from 1 species
CCUACGGGGUGCAGCAGUGGGGAAUAUUGCGCAAUGGGCGAAAGCCUGACGCAGCGACGCCGCGUGAGGGAUGAAGGUCUUCAGAUCGUAAACCUCUGUCAGCAGGGAAGAACGGUCACUGUGCUAAUCAGCAGUGAAUUGACGGUACCUGCAAAGGAAGCACCGGCUAACUCCGUGCCAGCAGCCGCGGUAAUACGGAGGGUGCGAGCGUUAAUCGGAAUUACUGGGCGUAAAGCGCUCGUAGGCGGUAUGUCAAGUCAAGGGUGAAAUCCCCGCGCUCAACGUGGGAACUGCCUUUGAAACUGGCAAACUGGAGUGUGUGAGAGGAUAGUGGAAUUCCAGGUGUAGGAGUGAAAGCCGUAGAUAUCUGGAGGAACAUCAGUGGCGAAGGCGACUAUCUGGCACAUAACUGACGCUGAGGAGCGAAAGCGUGGGUAGCAAACAGGAUUAGAUACCCCUGUAGUC